rnacentral:rRNA from 1 species
AACGAACGCUGGCGGCAUGCCUAACACAUGCAAGUCGAACGAUUGCCUUCGGGUGAUAGUGGCGCACGGGUGCGUAACGCGUGGGAAUCUGCCCUUAGGUUCGGAAUAACAGCUGGAAACGGCUGCUAAUACCGGAUGAUAUCGCGAGAUCAAAGAUUUAUCGCCUGAGGAUGAGCCCGCGUUGGAGUAGGUAGUUGGUGGGGUAAAGGCCUACCAAGCCGACGAUCCAUAGCUGGUCUGAGAGGAUGAUCAGCCACACUGGGACUGAGACACGGCCCAGACUCCUACGGGAGGCAGCAGUGGGGAAUAUUGGACAAUGGGCGCAAGCCUGAUCCAGCAAUGCCGCGUGAGUGAUGAAGGCCCUAGGGUUGUAAAGCUCUUUUACCCGGGAAGAUAAUGACUGUACCGGGAGAAUAAGCCCCGGCUAACUCCGUG